rnacentral:lncRNA from 1 species
ACUUUACUCUUUUUUGUAAUUGAGUAUUGUCUUUUUGCAACAUAAUUGAAUGAAUGUUUCAUCUAGGACUUAAAACCACAAAUUGUGAGGAAACCUCCAUUGUACACUUAAAUGCUGGAUUCUAAUAAGCUUUGUUGAUUCAUUUGAUUCAUGCUUUGUCUUUUAUUAUUGUGAAUAUGUGGAAGCAAUUAGAAAUGAUCAAGGCACUUGUUUUCUAUCGAGCACAACCAGUUCCAAAUGCAACUUACCUGUGAGCAGAGAGAGUAUUCGUUAACCCCUUUGAGCUUAAACAGUUGAAUCUCAGCUUGAAAUAAAGCGAGAUUUCAAAAAUCUUUUUUUCUUGCAACCUGGAAAAUUUUGAUAAUUGUUCUUUUGCCGUAAAAAGUCAAGAGCAUUCACUUAGGGUGAGUAAGAAAUAAGUUAGGGAGAACGAAAAUGAGAAUCGGUAAGUGCCACAACUCUUUAAAAAAACCGAGCAAGCAUACAAAAAUAUAUAUAUAAAAUAUAGAAAAGAGAAACAUCUGUUUUGUAAAUAUGAUGUGAAAAAAAAAAUAGAGAAAAUGAAAAUGAAUGCUUGCUUGGAAGAAAAAUAGUGAAAAACAAAAAAUGAGUUGUGAAAUAAGAGUUGUGAAGGUUUCAAAUGAGAAAUAAAUGGAACGAAGUUGAGAUGUGUGAAUAAUGUACAGUGAAUGUCUCUUUUGCAUCGACAAUUUCGUUUUCAAUAGCCUUAGAAAUGACCCUUGUUUGUUAACCUACCCAAGCUUCAACCGAAAAGUCCUUAGUGAUCUUCGUGCUUCCACAUUACCAAUUAUAAUUGUUAGACAUUGUAUGAAUUGAAUUGAUUUCUUCAUUGUUUGUUGGAGAGUGAG